UACGUAGGGUGCAAGCGUUGUCCGGAAUUAUUGGGCGUAAAGAGCUUGUAGGCGGUUUGUCGCGUCUGCUGUGAAAUUUCGGGGCUCAACCCCGAACUUGCAGUGGGUACGGGCAGACUAGAGUGUGGUAGGGGAGACUGGAAUUCCUGGUGUAGCGGUGAAAUGCGCAGAUAUCAGGAGGAAUACCAGCGGCGAAGGCGGCGCUCUGGGCCGGUACUGACGCUGAGGAGCGAAAGCGUGGGGAGCAAACAGG
rnacentral:rRNA from 1 species